rnacentral:rRNA from 1 species
UACGUAGGGGGCUAGCGUUGUCCGGAUUUAUUGGGCGUAAAGAGCGUGUAGGCGGCCAGGUAGGUCCGUUGUGAAAACUCGAGGCUCAACCUCGAGACGUCGGCGGAAACCAUCUGGCUAGAGUCCGGAAGAGGAGAGUGGAAUUCCUGGUGUAGCGGUGAAAUGCGCAGAUAUCAGGAAGAACACCCGUGGCGAAGGCGGCUCUCUAGUACGGUACUGACGCUGAGACGCGAAAGCGUGGGGAGCGAGCAGG